ensembl:snRNA U2 U2 spliceosomal RNA
ACAACUUCUUAGCCUAUUGGCUAAGAUCAAGUGUUCAUAUUUGUUUAAUCUCCGGUACUUUGAGAUCUCUCUCAAUGAGAGGACUAUAUAUUAAAUGGAUUUUGGGGGUCAACAGUUGGACCCAGAGCUUGCUCCCACCACUCUAUGAAUCAUCCCAGCACCUGCAGGCAUGGUGCACACUUG